AGAGUUUGAUCCUGGCUCAGAUUGAACGCUGGCGGCAGGCCUAACACAUGCAAGUCGAACGGUAACAGGAAGCAGCUUGCUGCUUCGCUGACGAGUGGCGGACGGGUGAGUAAUGUCUGGGAAACUGCCUGAUGGAGGGGGAUAACUACUGGAAACGGUAGCUAAUACCGCAUAACGUCGCAAGACCAAAGAGGGGGACCUUCGGGGCCUCUUGCCAUCGGAUGUGCCCAGAUGGGAUUAGCUUGUUGGUGGGGUAACGGCUCACCAAGGCGACGAUCCCUAGCUGGUCUGAGAGGAUGACCAGCCACACUGGAACUGAGACACGGUCCAGACUCCUACGGGAGGCAGCAGUGGGGAAUAUUGCACAAUGGGCGCAAGCCUGAUGCAGCCAUGCCGCGUGUAUGAAGAAGGCCUUCGGGUUGUAAAGUACUUUCAGCGGGGAGGAAGGGAGUAAAGUUAAUACCUUUGCUCAUUGACGUUACCCGCAGAAGAAGCACCGGCUAACUCCGUGCCAGCAGCCGCGGUAAUACGGAGGGUGCAAGCGUUAAUCGGAAUUACUGGGCGUAAAGCGCACGCAGGCGGUUUGUUAAGUCAGAUGUGAAAUCCCCGGGCUCAACCUGGGAACUGCAUCUGAUACUGGCAAGCUUGAGUCUCGUAGAGGGGGGUAGAAUUCCAGGUGUAGCGGUGAAAUGCGUAGAGAUCUGGAGGAAUACCGGUGGCGAAGGCGGCCCCCUGGACGAAGACUGACGCUCAGGUGCGAAAGCGUGGGGAGCAAAGCAGGAUUAGAUACCCUGGUAGUCCACGCCGUAAACGAUGUC
rnacentral:rRNA from 1 species